rnacentral:misc_RNA from 1 species
UGGUCCCAGGAAUCCAAAUCUACAAGCAGAAUAAUUUUUAUCUAUGAUUUCAUCUACGAGGAAACACUCAAGAAUGAGCCCUAUCGGUAUGGAAAAUUGGCAGUUUCAGAGAAUCUCAUCAUUGCAUUGAAGAAUCAAGAUUUAUUGGUGCAUCUGCAUAGUUGUUUUUCAGUAUACCGAAUAAAAAAUCAAACAAUAUUCAUAAUGUAUACAUACAUCAUGUAUUUUCGGAAUUAUUUGUAAUUGUCAUUUGACAAGAAACUUCUAUGAAUUUUUAUUGUAAUACAUUCAUUGUAAACGAAUAUUCCUCCACCUGAAUAAAUG